GAUGAACGCUAGCGGCAGGCUUAAUACAUGCAAGUCGGGGGGCAGCAUGAGUGUAGCAAUACAUUUGAUGGCGACCGGCAAACGGGUGCGGAACACGUACUGAACCUUCCUUUAAGUGGGGAAUAGCCCAGGGAAACUUGGAUUAAUACCCCGUAACAUAAUGAAGUGGCAUCACUUUAUUAUUAUAGCUCCGGCGCUUAAAGAUGGCAGUGCGGCUGAUUAGGUAGUUGGCGGGGUAACGGCCCACCAAGCCUGCGAUCAGUAACUGGUGUGAGAGCACGACCAGUCACACGGGCACUGAGACACGGGCCCGACUCCUACGGGAGGCAGCAGUAAGGAAUAUUGGGCAAUGGACGCAAGUCUGACCCAGCCAUGCCGCGUGGAGGAUGAAGGUCCUCUGGAUUGUAAACUUCUUUUAUAUGGGACGAAAAAGGGUCUUUCUAGAUCAACUGACGGUACCAUAUGAAUAAGCACCGGCUAACUACGUGCCAGCCGCCGCCGUAAUAC
rnacentral:rRNA from 1 species